AUGAGGAAACAAUUAUGGGAAUUUAUGAUUACAACGUAUGAUAGUAGUAGAAAGCGAUUUAUUAUUCGGCCAAAUACUGACGGCAUCAAUGUUCUUAAUGAAUAUGUUUAUGACAUAUUCGGGCUACGUAAUGAGGGUGAUGAUGUUAGUAGCAUGAUAGCAACAGUACAACUAGAUGCCAAAAAAAUUGUUCCGAAUCGGUUUCUAGACAAAAGAACAGGCCUAAUCCUCAUAGAUGAGUUGAUAGAAAAUAUUGUUGAUACUCAGUCAUAUGAUGAUGAUUUUGUGAGAAGGGCCGUACUGGUUCUUUUGGGUACAGUCUUAACACCACAAUCCACCAAGUUUGUUCCUUAUCGUUAUUACAAAAUGGUGGACGACGUGAACGCUAUCAAGUCAUACAAUUGGAACGAUUUCACGUUGGGGGUGUGCAUGGAUGCUAUUAAAAAAUCAGUCGAAGAUCUUGAAAAAUUCAUAAACGUUACUAUCACGCAGUACAUAUAA
rnacentral:rRNA from 1 species